AUGGAUGAAGCGAUAUUUGCAAUCAGUUUCGACCUGACUAUAGGGUAAACCCCGUUCAUA
rnacentral:tRNA from 1 species